ACGAACGCUGGCGGCGUGCUUAACACAUGCAAGUCGAACGAUGAAGACAAGAAUCGAAGCUUCGGCAGAAAUUCAUUUCGGAUUAGUGGCAGACGGGUGAGUAACGCGUGAGCAACCUACCUCUUACAAAGGGAUAGCCUCGGGAAACCGGGAUUAAUACCAUAUAACAUUGCGACGAAGCAUUUCGAUGCAAUCAAAGCUACGGCGGUAAGAGAUGGGCUCGCGUCCCAUUAACCGGAUGGUGAGGUAACGGCUCACCAUAGUGACGAUGGGUAACCGGCCUGAGAGGGUGAACGGUCACACUGGAACUGAGACACGGUCCAGACUCCUACGGGAGGCAGCAGUGGGGAAUAUUGCACAAUGGAGGGAACUCUGAUGCAGCGACGCCGCGUGAGUGAUGAAGGAAUUCGUUUCGUAAAACUCUGUUCUAUGGGAAGAAAAGGACUGUACCAUAGGAGAAAGCUCCGGCUAAAUACGUG
rnacentral:rRNA from 1 species